UUCCGUAGGGGUAACCUGCGGAGGGAUCUUUACCGAGUUUACAACUCCCAAACCCCUGUGAACAUACCACUUGUUGCCUCGGCGGAUCAGCCCGCUCCCGGUAAAACGGGACGGCCCGCCAGAGGACCCCUAAACUCUGUUUCUAUAUGUAACUUCUGAGUAAAACCAUAAAUAAAUCAAAACUUUCAACAACGGAUCUCUUGGUUCUGGCAUCGAUGAAGAACGCAGCAAAAUGCGAUAAGUAAUGUGAAUUGCAGAAUUCAGUGAAUCAUCGAAUCUUUGAACGCACAUUGCGCCCGCCAGUAUUCUGGCGGGCAUGCCUGUUCGAGCGUCAUUUCAACCCUCAAGCACAGCUUGGUGUUGGGACUCGCGUUAAUUCGCGUUCCCCAAAUUGAUUGGCGGUCACGUCGAGCUUCCAUAGCGUAGUAGUAAAACCCUCGUUACUGGUAAUCGUCGCGGCCACGCCGUUAAACCCCAACUUCUGAAUGUUGACCUCGGAUCAGGUAGGAAUACCCGCUGAACUUAAGCAUAUCAAUAGGCGGAGGAA
rnacentral:rRNA from 1 species